rnacentral:rRNA from 1 species
AUACGGAGGGUGCAAGCGUUAUCCGGAAUCAUUGGGUUUUAAGGGUCCGUAGGCGGACUAUUAAGUCAGAGGUGAAAUCCCACAGCUCGACUGUGGAACUGCCUUUGAUACUGGUAGUCUUGAGUUAUAUGGAAGUAGAUAGAAUGUGUAGUGUAGCGGUGAAAUGCAUAGAUAUUACACAGAAUACCGAUUGCGAAGGCAGUCUACUACGUAUAUACUGACGCUAAGGGACGAAAGCGUGGGGAGCGAACAGGAUUAGAAACCCCAGUAGUCC